AGAGUUUGAUCAUGGCUCAGAUUGAACGCUGGCGGCAUGCUUUACACAUGCAAGUCGAACGGCAGCACGGGGGCAACCCUGGUGGCGAGUGGCGAACGGGUGAGUAAUAUAUCGGAACGUACCCGGAAAUGGGGGAUAACGUAGCGAAAGUUGCGCUAAUACCGCAUAUGCCCUGAGGGGGAAAGCGGGGGAUCCGCAAGGACCUCGCGUUUUCGGAGCGGCCGAUAUCGGAUUAGCUAGUAGGUGGGGUAAAGGCUCACCUAGGCGACGAUCCGUAGCUGGUCUGAGAGGACGACCAGCCACACUGGAACUGAGACACGGUCCAGACUCCUACGGGAGGCAGCAGUGGGGAAUUUUGGACAAUGGGCGAAAGCCUGAUCCAGCCAUGCCGCGUGAGUGAAGAAGGCCUUCGGGUUGUAAAGCUCUUUCAGCCGGAAAGAAAGCGCAUGGGUGAAUAACCUGUGUGGAUGACGGUACCGGAAGAAGAAGCACCGGCUAACUACGUGCCAGCAGCCGCGGUAAUACGUAGGGUGCGAGCGUUAAUCGGAAUUACUGGGCGUAAAGCGUGCGCAGGCGGUUUUGUAAGACAGAUGUGAAAUCCCCGGGCUUAACCUGGGAACUGCAUUUGUGACUGCAAGGCUAGAGUACGGCAGAGGGGGGUAGAAUUCCACGUGUAGCAGUGAAAUGCGUAGAUAUGUGGAGGAAUACCGAUGGCGAAGGCAGCCCCCUGGGUCGAUACUGACGCUCAUGCACGAAAGCGUGGGGAGCAAACAGGAUUAGAUACCCUGGUAGUCCACGCCCUAAACGAUGUCAACUAGGUGUUGGGGGGGGAGACUUCCUUAGUACCGCAGCUAAGCGCGUGAAGUUGACCGCCUGGGGAGUACGGUCGCAAGAUUAAAACUUAAAUGAAUUGACGG
rnacentral:rRNA from 1 species